rnacentral:rRNA from 1 species
GACGAACGCUGGCGGCGUGCCUAAUACAUGCAAGUAGAACGCUGAAGGAGGAGCUUGCUUCUCCGGAUGAGUUGCGAACGGGUGAGUAACGCGUAGGUAACCUGCCUGGUAGCGGGGGAUAACUAUUGGAAACGAUAGCUAAUACCGCAUAACAGUAGAUGUUGCAUGACAUUUGCUUAAAAGGUGCAAUUGCAUCACUACCAGAUGGACCUGCGUUGUAUUAGCUAGUUGGUGAGGUAACGGCUCACCAAGGCGACGAUACAUAGCCGACCUGAGAGGGGGAUCGGCCACACUGGGACUGAGACACGGCCCAGACGCCUACGGGAGGCAGCAGUAGGGAAUCUUCGGCAAUGGACGGAAGUCUGACCGAGCAACGCCGCGUGAGUGAAGAAGGUUUUCGGAUCGUAAAGCUCUGUUGUAAGAGAAGAACGAGUGUGAGAGUGGAAAGUUCACACUGUGACGGUAGCUGACCAGAAAGGGACGGCUAACUACGUG